GACGUAGGGUGCGAGCGUUGUCCGGAUUUAUUGGGCGUAAAGAGCUCGUAGGCGGCUCGUUGCGUCGGCUGUGAAAACCCGCGGCUUAACUGUGGGCUUGCAGCCGAUACGGGCGGGCUGGAGUUCGGUAGGGGAGACUGGAAUUCCUGGUGUAGCGGUGAAAUGCGCAGAUAUCAGGAGGAACACCCGUGGCGAAAGCGGCUCUCUGGGACGGUACUGACGCUGAGACGCGAAAGCGUGGGGAGCAAACAGG
rnacentral:rRNA from 1 species